GAGUAAAGUGGCGCACGGGUGAGUAACGCGUGGGUAACCUGCCCUUGAAUCCGGGAUAACUUCGCGAAAGCGGUGCUAAUACCGGAUAUCGUUUCAUGAACUUUGGUUUUUGAAAUGAAAGGUGACCUCUCCAUGGAAGUUGCCGUUCAAGGAGGGGCUCGCGUCCCAUUAGCUUGUUGGUGGGGUAAUGGCCUACCAAGGCUGUGAUGGGUAGCUGGCCUGAGAGGAUGAUCAGCCACACUGGCACUGAAACACGGGCCAGACUCCUACGGGAGGCAGCAGUGAGGAAUUUUUGCACAAUGGGGGAAACCCUGA
rnacentral:rRNA from 1 species